rnacentral:rRNA from 1 species
UACGGAGGAGGCAAGCGUUAUCCGGAAUUAUUGGGCGUAAAGCGUCCGCAGGUGGCGAUUCAAGUCUGCGGUCAAAGACUGGGGCUUAACCCUGGAAAGGCCGUGGAAACUGAAUAGCUAGAGUGCAGUAGGGGUAGAGGGAAUUCCCGGUGUAGCGGUGAAAUGCGUAGAGCUCGGGAAGAACAUCGGUGGCGAAGGCGGCCUGCUGGGCCGAUCCUGACGCUGAGGCGCGAAGGCGUGGGGAGCGAACGGG